UCACGUUGAAACAUUGGUUCUCGUCCAAUCACCGAAGUUGAGCAACGUCGAGUCUGCUCGGUACCUAGAUGGGUGACCGCUUGGGAAUAGCUGGUGCUGUAAG